rnacentral:misc_RNA from 1 species
UCUCCGUUGGUGAACCAGCGGAGGGGUCAUUACAAAGUUGCAAAACUCCCAAACCCUUGCGAACGUUACCUAUCCCUUGGCUUCGGCGGUCGGCCCGGGCCCCGCGCCCGGCGCCCCCUGGCUCCCCGUGGGCGCCCGCCGGAGGUAAACCAAAACCAUGAAUUGCAUGGCCACUCUGAUUAUUCUGUACUUAAUAAGUCAAAACUUUCAACAACGGAUCUCUUGGUUCUG